rnacentral:rRNA from 1 species
UACAGAGGUCUCAAGCGUUGUUCGGAUUCAUUGGGCGUAAAGGGCGCGUAGGCGGGAUGGCAAGUCGGUCGUGAAAUCCUUCGGCUCAACCGAAGAACGUCGAUCGAUACUGCUGUUCUUGAGGGUUGCAGAGGAGACUGGAAUUCCCGGUGUAGCGGUGAAAUGUGUAGAGAUCGGGAGGAACACCGGUGGCGAAGGCGGGUCUCUGGGCAAUUCCUGACGGCUGAGGCGCGAAAGCGUGGGGAGCAAACGGG